rnacentral:rRNA from 1 species
CCUACGGGAGGCAGCAGUGGGGAAUUUUGGACAAUGGGCGAAAGCCUGAUCCAGCAAUGCCGCGUGUGGGAAGAAGGCCUUCGGGUUGUAAACCACUUUUGUACGGAACGAAACGGUUCGCUUUAAUACAGUGGGCUAAUGACGGUACCGUAAGAAUAAGCACCGGCUAACUACGUGCCAGCAGCCGCGGUAAUACGUAGGGUGCGAGCGUUAAUCGGAAUUACUGGGCGUAAAGCGUGCGCAGGCGGUUAUAUAAGACAGUUGUGAAAUCCCCGGGCUCAACCUGGGAAUUGCAUCUGUGACUGUAUAGCUAGAGUACGGUAGAGGGGGAUGGAAUUCCGCGUGUAGCAGUGAAAUGCGUAGAUAUGCGGAGGAACACCGAUGGCGAAGGCAAUCCCCUGGACCUGUACUGACGCUCAUGCACGAAAGCGUGGGGAGCAAACAGGAUUAGAUACCCUGGUAGUCCACGCCCUAAACGAUGUCAACUGGUUGUUGGGUGCAUUAGUACUCAGUAACGAAGCUAACGCGUGAAGUUGACCGCCUGGGGAGUACGGCCGCAAGGUUGAAACUUAAGGAAUUGACGG